GACGAACGCUGGCGGCGUGCUUAACACAUGCAAGUCGAACGCUGAAGCUCAGCUUUUGUUGGGUGGAUGAGUGGCGAACGGGUGAGUAACACGUGAGUAACCUGCCCUCUUCUUUGGGGUAACGCCCGGAAACGGGUGCUAAUACCGGAUAUUCACUGAUCUUCGCAUGGGGGUUGGUGGAAAGGUUUGUUCUGGUGGGGGAUGGGCUCGCGGCCUAUCAGCUUGUUGGUGGGGUGAUGGCCUACCAAGGCUUUGACGGGUAGCCGGCCUGAGAGGGUGACCGGUCACAUUGGGACUGAGAUACGGCCCAGACUCCUACGGGAGGCAGCAGUGGGGAAUAUUGCACAAUGGGCGAAAGCCUGAUGCAGCGACGCCGCGUGAGGGAUGGAGGCCUUCGGGUUGUAAACCUCUUUCGCUCAUGGUCAAGCCGCAACUGUGGGUUGUGGUGAGGGUAGUGGGUAAAGAAGCGCCGGCUAACUACGUGCCAGCAGCCGCGGUAAUACGUAGGGCGCGAGCGUUGUCCGGAAUUAUUGGGCGUAAAGGGCUUGUAGGCGGUUGGUCGCGUCUGCCGUGAAAUUCUCUGGCUUAACUGGGGGCGUGCGGUGGGUACGGGCUGACUUGAGUGCGGUAGGGGAGACUGGAACUCCUGGUGUAGCGGUGGAAUGCGCAGAUAUCAGGAAGAACACCGGUGGCGAAGGCGGGUCUCUGGGCCGUUACUGACGCUGAGGAGCGAAAGCGUGGGGAGCGAACAGG
rnacentral:rRNA from 1 species